UGAAUACGAGAUGCUACGGCGUCGAAGCAGUGUAUGUCAGACUUCCAAGAAAAGCUCGCAAUGUCAUAAAUAAAUAAUGCCUGUACCAUAACCGACACAGGUGGGUAGGUAGAGUAUACUAAGGGGCGCGAGAUAACUCUCUCUAAGGAACUCGGCAAAAUAACUCCGUAACUUCGGGAGAAGGAGUGCCUUAUUUAUAAGGUUGCAAUAACAAGAUCCAAGCAACUGUUUAUCAAAAACACAGGUCUCCGCUAAGUCGUAAGACGAUGUAUGGGGGCUGACGCCUGCCCAGUGCCAGAAGGUUAAAGAAGUUGGUUAGCAUUGCGAAGCUGAUGACUGAAGCCCUGGUGAACGGCGGCCGUAACAAUAACGGUCCUAAGGUAGCGAAAUUCCUUGUCGGGUAAGUUCCGACCCGCACGAAAGGCGUAAUGAUUUGGAUACUGUCUCGGAGAGGGACUCGGUGAAAUAGACUUGUCUGUGAAGAUGCGGACUACCUGCACCAGGACAGAAAGACCCUAUGAAGCUUUACUGUAACUUGAAAUUGAAAUUGGACUUUAUUUGCGCAGUAUAGGUGGGAGGCGUUGAAAAUAAUCUCGCGGGAUUAUUGGAGCCAUCAGUGAGAUACCACUCCUAUAAUGUUAGAUUUCUAACUUUGUAUCAUUAUCUGGUCAAAGAACAGUUUCAGGCGGGCAGUUUGACUGGGGCGGUCGCCUCCUAAAUGGUAACGGAGGCGUACAAAGGUUUCCUCUGAACGGGUAGAAAUCGUAUCUAGAGUAUAAAGGCAUAAGGAAGCUUGACUGUGAGACCUACAAGUCGAGCAGGGACGAAAGUCGGUCUUAGUGAUCUGACGGUGCUGAGUGGAAAGGCCGUCACUCAACGGAUAAAAGUUACUCUAGGAUAACAGGCUGAUCUCCCCCAAGAGUUCACAUCGACGGGGAGGUUUGGCACCUCGAUGUCGGCUCAUCGCAUCCUGGGGCGGUAGUACGUCCCAAGGGUUGGGCUGUUCGCCCAUGAGAGCGGUACGCGAGCUGGGUUCAGAACGUCGUGAGACAGUUCGGUCCAUAUCCGGUGUAGGCGUUAGAAUAUUGAGAGGAGCCUUCUUUAGUACGAGAGGACCGAGAAGGACAUACCUCUGGUGUACCAGUUAUCGUGCCAACGGUAAACGCUGGGUAGCUAUGUAUGGAGUGGAUAACCGCUGAAAGCAUCUAAGUGGGAAGCCCACCUCAAGAUGAGUAUUCCC
rnacentral:rRNA from 1 species